rnacentral:rRNA from 1 species
GACCUGCGGAAGGAUCAUUACAGAGUUCAUGCCCGAAAGGGUAGACCUCCCACCCUUGUGUAUUAUUACUUUGUUGCUUUGGCGAGCUGCCUUCGGGCCUUGUAUGCUCGCCAGAGAAUACCAAAACUCUUUUUAUUAAUGUCGUCUGAGUACUAUAUAAUAGUUAAAACUUUCAACAACGGAUCUCUUGGUUCUGGCAUCGAUGAAGAACGCAGCGAAAUGCGAUAAGUAAUGUGAAUUGCAGAAUUCAGUGAAUCAUCGAAUCUUUGAACGCACAUUGCGCCCCUUGGUAUUCCGGGGGGCAUGCCUGUUCGAGCGUCAUUUCAACCCUCAAGCUUAGCUUGGUAUUGAGUCUAUGUCAGUAAUGGCAGGCUCUAAAAUCAGUGGCGGCGCCGCUGGGUCCUGAACGUAGUAAUAUCUCUCGUUACAGGUUCUCGGUGUGCUUCUGCCAAAACCCAAAUUUUUCUAUGGUUGACCUCGGAUCAGGUAGGGAUACCCGCUGAACUUAAGCAUAUCAAUAAGCGGAGGA